UACGUAGGGGGCUAGCGUUGUCCGGAAUCAUUGGGCGUAAAGAGCGUGUAGGCGGCCUUACAGGUCAGCUGUGAAAACUCGAGGCUCAACCUCGAGACGUCGGUUGAAACCGUAAGGCUAGAGUCCGGAAGAGGAGAGUGGAAUUCCCGGUGUAGCGGUGAAAUGCGCAGAUAUCAGGAAGAACACCCGUGGCGAAGGCGGUUCUCUGGGACGGUACUGACGCUGGAGACGCGAAAGCGUGGGGAGCGAACAGG
rnacentral:rRNA from 1 species